AUCAAAUGUCUCAUUCUAUUUGUAGAAAAGUACAUUUAGCUAUGUCUUCGGCUACUAACUCAACUAUAAAAGUUUUCAUCAAAACAGUCUUUAAACAUAACAUUUGCUUAAAAUUUGGUUCUCCCGUCAAGGAGACAGUAGGUGGCUGUUAUCUUUACUUCAAAUUUUACUAAAUUUUAUAAAAACCUACUAUUUUUAUUAAUAGAAUUCACACAGCAUUGGAAUGUUUGACUUUUUUUCAGACUUAGGAAAGGCAGCAUUUUACUUCAUUCAUUAAUUGCACCAUUUACAUCCUGAUUGCUGUGCAUGUGGAAUAUAUUGAAAGAUAAUAUUAAAGUGUAAGUUUUAUUAAAUGUUAAUUUGUUUUUUAUUUCAAUAACAAAUGAGCAAUUUAUAAUAAAAACAGUUUUCCACCUUU
rnacentral:sRNA from 1 species